UACUCUCACACUUCCGAUUGUUUGGAUCGGGAGCGGUGGACUUGGGUGUUGCUGCUUUACUGUGGCUCACCUCAAAUGCAGUAGUGCACCUUUCGGUUGGACAUAGUACGGCGUGAUAAGUGUCUUCGCCGGCGCCUCACUUUGAGGGUGGCCGAUCGGGAGCUCUGUGCUUCAAACCGUCUUCGGACAAUGACUGACA
rnacentral:misc_RNA from 1 species